rnacentral:rRNA from 1 species
CCUACGGGUGGCAGCAGUGAGGAAUAUUGGUCAAUGGACGCAAGUCUGAACCAGCCAUGCCGCGUGCAGGAAGACGGCUCUAUGAGUUGUAAACUGCUUUUGUACGAGGGUAAACGCAGAUACGCGUAUCUGUCUGAAAGUAUCGUACGAAUAAGGAUCGGCUAACUCCGUGCCAGCAGCCGCGGUAAUACGGAGGAUUCAAGCGUUAUCCGGAUUUAUUGGGUUUAAAGGGUGCGUAGGCGGUCGGAUAAGUUAGAGGUGAAAUCCCGAGGCUCAACGUCGGAAUUGCCUAUGAUACUGUUCGGCGAGAGAGUAGAUGCGGUAGGCGGAAUGUAUGGUGUAGCGGUGAAAUGCUUAGAGAUCAUACAGAACACCGAUUGCGAAGGCAGCUUACCAGGCUACUUCUGACGUUGAGGCACGAAAGCGUGGGGAGCAAACAGGAUUAGAUACCCCUGUAGUC